GACGCGGCGGCGGCCUCUCGCNCCCCGCCCGUCUCAAAGAUAAUGACGGCGUUCUGUGAGGACUCCUGUACACUGAGCUUUUCGGGCACGUACUAGGCCAGCACUCCAGGCGCCGGUCGCCGUCCCUCUACGGGGACACUGUUUUACCACAAGGUUGACCUCGGAUCAGGUAGGAAUACCCGCUGAACUUAAGCAUAUCAAUAAGCGGAGGAAAAGAAACCAACAGGGAUUGCCUUAGUAACGGCGAGUGAAGCGGCAACAGCUCAAAUUUGAAAUCUGGCCUCUCUCGGGGUCCGAGUUGUAAUUUGGAGAGGAUGUUUCGGGUACGGCCCGGGCUUAAAUUUCUUGGAACAGAAUGUCACGGAGGGUGAGAAUCCCGUCUGGAGCCCGGGCACGGCCUAUGUGAAACUCCUUCGACGAGUCGAGUUGUUUGGGAAUGCAGCUCUAAAUGGGUGGUAAAUUUCAUCUAAAGCUAAAUAUUGGCCAGAGACCGAUAGCGCACAAGUAGAGUGAUCGAAAGAUGAAAAGCACUUUGAAAAGAGAGUUAAACAGUACGUGAAAUUGUUGAAAGGGAAGCGCUGGCAACCAGACUUGCGCGUCGGGGUUCCCCCUUGCUUCUGCUUGGGCUACUCCCCGGCGCUCAGGCCAACAUCGGUUUCGGGGGUUGGUUAAAGGCCCUGGGAAU
rnacentral:rRNA from 1 species